rnacentral:misc_RNA from 1 species
UGAUCUUUUGGAACUUCAGCUGAGAGCCCUUCUCCUUAGUGCUGAUACCGCUUUUCUUCAAAUAGUUUAGAAAACUAGGGUUUACAAAGCUAAAACUAAUUCUAAAUUGAAAGACUUCUGUCAAAGGUCUCCUCUCCUUAGUCCAGUCUUCUGAUAUUUAUAUCAGAUGCCUUAGAGUUAUGUUUUAGAGUCCCAAGAGUCUUAGAAGUCUGUUUGGAAUGCGAGAAAUGGAAUUGGAGUCGUAUCAGAAAUUUGCCUGCUACAAUGUACAUGACCUGUGUGGCACUACAUGGUAAGUUUUUGGAUAGAAUUUGGCUUCGUUCAGGUGAGAGACAGAAAGUUACAUGGGGGUCUUUAAGUUUACAUGGGGUCAAGUACACAGCAUGUGUAUUGUCUUCCUUUAUUUAGCUUUUCAGAUUUAGAUUUCUAGAGAGUUACACGGGGGCAUUGUGAGAUCUAACUCGUGUACUGUGGCUCCUCAUAUUUUCUUCAAUCUUCUCUUGCCAGAGGGGUUACACGGGUUUGGCUUCAUUCUUACAGAACCCGUGUACUGUGAUGCAGCAGCUUCUCUUGGUUUUCUUGCUUUCCAAACUCGUCUAAUCGACUCCUAUGCCUUAGACUUCCUUUGAAUGCCUGAAAAGGUACAAAAAACAUAAAAUUAAGUGGAGAUAAACUAAAUUAAUAAAAGCUAAUGAAACUAACUAAAAUGCAUGUAAUUAACUACCUAAAUGCUAUGGAAUGCAGUGCAAUUGUGCCUUAGAAUACCUAUAUGAUAUAAGUGUAUCACAUAUUGUACAAAUAAGAAGUAAUAAACAUAGAAGUUGAGGGGAUAGUGGAAAGUUCUUCAGCUAGUUUUGUAAAUUUGAGAAAAUUGCUCAUCAGGGAUAAUUUAGGGUUCUUAAAUCAACAUAUUCCCCAAAGACCUGAUUCGUUAUAAACUCAGCAGCGAUUGGGGAGGCGAUUCUUCUGUGUAGUUUGUGUCCAGCAACCCUGUAGCUUGAUCCAUACUAAGACCCCAAUAAUUCAUUUGGACCGCUAAGCACAGUCCCUUUGCUUUUGGCAGACCUUUGCUUAGGGAUAGUAGCCCUACCAGACUUCUUCUUGUCUAUAAGGACCACUAGAAGAGGGGCUGUAGCUUCCCUGAAGAUGAUUGAACCCUCUUCCUCUUUACACGAGUACUGUCCAAGCUUUCUGAGAUCUCAUUUACCAAGGAAAUAGGAUGUUGAACUUAUGAAGGAGCAGCUCUAGACACUUUAGUCAGCUCGCAUGGUGGUAGGAUAGAGUGCUUGUGGACCCCGACAGUCUUUACUUUCACGCCUCCUUUCAUUAAGUUCCUUUUGCGUUGUGGCAGAUUUUUCAAUGUUAAUAAAGGAGUAUCGAGGGGCACAAAAGUUAUUGGAAUGACUACUAGGGCCCGAUAAGAACUCGAAGUCGCAAAUUGAAGAGGGCUUUUAGGCAUGUUCAAAAGCAAAGGACUUGAGGUGACUCUGACCAUGUUAGCGGCCACCUGAGCUAUGGUCUUCCCAUCCUCGAAAGACUUUAGUGCGUAGGCCUUCUGGUUAUCGUUAGCUACAAAUGUUUUAGGGUUG